UACGGGGGGGGCAAGCGUUGUUCGGAAUUACUGGGCGUAAAGGGCUCGUAGGUGGCCAACUAAGUCAGACGUGAAAUCCCUCGGCUUAACCGGGGAACUGCGUCGGAUACUGGAUGGCUUGAAUUCGGGAGAGGGAUGCAGAAUUCCAGGUGUAGCGGUGAAAUGCGUAGAUAUCUGGAGGAAUACCGGUGGCGAAGGCGGCAUCCUGGACCAACACUGACGCUGAGUGAGCGAAAGCCAGGGGAGCAAACGGG
rnacentral:rRNA from 1 species